rnacentral:rRNA from 1 species
AUUGAACGCUGGCGGCAGGCCUAACACAUGCAAGUCGAGCGGAUGAAGGGAGCUUGCUCCUGGAUUCAGCGGCGGACGGGUGAGUAAUGCCUAGGAAUCUGCCUGGUAGUGGGGGAUAACGUCCGGAAACGGGCGCUAAUACCGCAUACGUCCUGAGGGAGAAAGUGGGGGAUCUUCGGACCUCACGCUAUCAGAUAAGCCUAGGUCGGAUUAGCUAGUUGGUGGGGUAAAGGCCUACCAAGGCGACGAUCCGUAACUGGUCUGAGAGGAUGAUCAGUCACAUUGUAACCGAGAUACUGUCCAGACUCCUACUGGAGGCAGCAGUGGGGAAUAUUGGACAAUGGGCGAAAGCCUGAUCCAGCCAUGCCGCUUGUGUGAAGAAGGUCUUCGGACUGUAAAGCACUUUAAGUUGGGAGGAAGGGCAGUAAGUUAAUACCUUGCUUUUUUGACGUUACCAACAGAAUAAGCACCGGCUAACUUCGUG